rnacentral:misc_RNA from 1 species
AACGCACCUUGCACCCCUUGGUAUUCCGAGGGGCAUGCCUGUUUGAGUGUCAUUAAAUCCUCAACUGCGCCGAUUGAUUUUGGUGGGGCUUGGACUUUGGAGCAUGCUGGCGAAGGUCGGCUCCUCUUUAAAUGCAUCAGCGGAAGAGACCUUUGUCUUUCCUGCCUUCGGUGUGAUAAUCGUGUUGUGCCGCGGUGGAACUUCAACGAUCCGCUUACAAUGGUCUUCGGACGAAACCUCAUGUCAUCUUGACCUCAAAUCAGGUAGGACUACCCGCUGAACUUAA